UACGUAGGGUGCAGGCGUUAAUCGGAAUUACUGGGCGUAAAGCGUGCGCAGGCGGUUUGCUAAGACAGGUGUGAAAUCCCCGGGCUUAACCUGGGAACUGCGCUUGUUACUGGCAGGCUUGAGUGUGGCAGAGGGGGGUGGAAUUCCACGUGUAGCAGUGAAAUGCGUAGAGAUGUGGAGGAACAUCGGUGGCGAAGGCGGCAUCCUGGACCGGUAUUGACGCUGAGGCGCGAAAGCCAGGGGAGCAAACGGG
rnacentral:rRNA from 1 species